GACGAACGCUGGCGGCGUGCUUAACACAUGCAAGUCGAACGGUAAGGCCCUUCGGGGUACACGAGUGGCGAACGGGUGAGUAACGCGUGAGUAACCUGCCCUUCACUCUGGGAUAACAGUUGGAAACGGCUGCUAAUACCGGAUAUUCAGCUCCUGUCGCAUGGUGGGGGUUGGAAAGUUUUGGUGGUGGAGGAUGGGCUCGCGUCCUAUCAGCUUGUUGGUGGGGUGAUGGCCUACCAAGGCGUCGACGGGUAGCCGGCCUGAGAGGGCGACCGGCCACAUUGGGACUGAGAUACGGCCCAAACUCCUACGGGAGGCAGCGGUGGGGAAUAUUGCACAAUGGGCGGAAGCCUGAUGCAGCAACGCCGCGUGCGGGAUGACGGCCUUCGGGUUGUAAACCGCUUUCAGCAGGGACGAAGCGCAAGUGACGGUACCUGCAGAAGAAGCACCGGCUAACUACGUG
rnacentral:rRNA from 1 species